CGGACGCCCCGGCGCGCCAGCCGGAUGGCGCGAAACUCAAGGCGGCGGCGACGGCGACGGCGGCUUGUGGUACCGUGGAGCUGGCCUCAUUAACAUAUGACCGGGUAAACUACGCCCACGGCAUGGCUGGCGACCUCUCCUCCGUCCACUGGAAGUGCCACCAGAUGCAUAAUUGGUGGUGACUUGCAGGCUAGCGUAUAUCCUGGCCUAUGUUUACAGAUGGCUGGAUCUGCUCCUCGAUCUAGCAGGAUGGAUGUAGCUACCUACUUGAUUCAAAUCAUUACUUUGCUUCCUCUGCUGGAACCUGGGGUUGAAGUUGGGAUUCUGCAUCUGGUCGGCCCUCAAUCACAGGCCAGGGAUGGCCAUGGUUUUUCCGCUUCAGAGUUGAGCUGGAUGCCCGUGCAGUGCACGAGUCUCCUGAACACAAUGAGCAUGCCGUGGUCUGUCGUCUGUUCCAGCAGCAACGUUCAUACGUUGUUGUCCACUACUCCAGUGCAGCAGCAGCCCGAAAAUAAUGGAGAGCUGAUUCUUAGGUAUGUGAAGAAAGGGUGGGAAGAUCAAAUCAAGGACCCGGGCAGUUACUGGAAGUUCAAUGAUCGCAGGGGGGCAGUGGAUGCUUCAUACGAACAAGUGCAACCAAGAUCUGGGUUGCAGCUUAAGGAGGCCAUUCGAUGAGUGUUCUUCUCUGGCACACCACCAUGGAUUUCUGCUUCUACUACAUUACAUGGGCACAUCAGCAGAUCGCCGAUGUACCACUGUUCGGUGUGUUCACAAUGCCUCUGGUGAAGGCCGUGGGUGUGCUGUCUGGUGCGGAAGAUCUCCUCACCACAGUAGAUCCUUAAGGAUGAUAAGACAAUCCAUGGAAGGUGAUUGAGGCCUGUGGGUGGAUAUGUUCUGCUUCUCCUCGGCCAGUAGCAGUAGGUGUCGAGGGUACCUACACGGCAAGAGUUUGGGCACCACGGAGGGGAGCUGCUCACAUAUACUCCUAUUUGGCUCCUGUCGCUCAUGGGGAUGGAAACCUUGCCCGAGAGGCUGCAGAUGACAGAGCUUUCGAGUGGACAAGGAAAUGCCGGCGCUGCUCCAUCAACUUCCCAGGCUAGUACCGCGAAGCCGUUUUUGAAAAUUGAUGUUUUUCUAUUCUGCAUUUGCUUAUUUUUGGAAGCUUUUUGUAGUUCAUACAUUGUGGUGUUCCAUUUGUCGCUGUUCCUCUUCUUCGGAACCGGCGACGGUAGCGCCCGUGGGUGUCGCGAUCUUUCCUGAAAUCAUCAUUGUGGAGGUGUGGUCACCCCUCUCCCCGCGGCCUUGGCUCCGGAGGGAAACCUCUGAUCAUCUGGAUCGGGUGAUGGAGGCGUCCUAGCGCCUUUCUCCUCCUUGGGGGCAUCGUCUUGAAGCGGACUGCAACUAGGAGACCGAUGGUUGUUGGUGGCUGGUUCGUCGAGGCCAGGGGGUGUCAAUGUCUGUUUGGCAAUGAUGAUGGCGCCAAGAUGAGUUGGGGUCAUGUCUCGGGCUCUUCCAUGGUUGCUUGAUUGUUGUGGAGUCGAAGCUGCGGUGGAUUGUGUCUAGGUGGUGACGGCACUCGUCGGUCGUUCGCGGAGGUCUUGGCCGGCGCAAGCCCUGCAUAUUUCCCUUGCAAAGAUUGUCGUCAAAGUCGAAGCUGUCGUUCGCUGGCGCGUGUGGCCAUCUGUUGGCAUGUGGCCAGGUUGGCUGGUGGUGUCCAUUUUCUGGGCUGAGUUGUACCGGUUUUAGCCCGGUUUUCCGCAAAUUAA